GAUGAACGCUGGCGGCGUGCCUAAUACAUGCAAGUCGAGCGAACGGACGAGAAGCUUGCUUUUCUGAUGUUAGCGGCGGACGGGUGUGUAACACGUGGAUAACCUACCUAUAAGACUGGGAUAACUUCGGGAAACCGGCGCUAAUACCGGAUAAUAUUUUGAACCGCAUGGUUCAAAAGUGAAAGACGGUCUUGCUGGAACUUAUAGAUGGAUCCGCGCUGCAUUAGCUAGUUGGUAAGGUAACGGCUCACCAAGGCAACGAUGCAUAGCCGACCUGACAGGGUGAUCGGCCACACGGGAACUGAGACGCGGUCCAUACGCCUACGGGAGGCAGCAGUAGGGAAUCUUCGGCAACGGUCGAGAGCCUGACGGAGCAACGCCGCGUGAGUGAUGAAGAUGUUCGGAUCGUAAUACUCUGUUAUGAGGGAAGAACAUAUGUGUAAGUAACUGUGCACAUCUUGACGGUACCUAGUCAGAAAGCCACGGCUAACUACGUG
rnacentral:rRNA from 1 species